rnacentral:rRNA from 1 species
GGCUCAGGACGAACGCUGGCGGCGUGCUUAACACAUGCAAGUCGAGCGGUAAGGCUCCUUCGGGAGUACACGAGCGGCGAACGGGUGAGUAACACGUGAGCAAUCUGCCCUUCACAUCGGGAUAACUCCGGGAAACCGAAGCUAAUACCGAAUACGACCACUUCAGGCAUCUGAUGGUGGUGGAAAGUUCCGGCGGUGAAGGAUGAGCUCGCGGCCUAUCAGCUUGUUGGUGGGGUAACGGCCCACCAAGGCUUCGACGGGUAGCCGGCCUGAGAGGGUGACCGGCCACACUGGGACCGAGACACGGCCCAGACUCCUACGGGAGGCAGCAGUGGGGAAUAUUGGACAAUGGGCGAAAGCCUGAUCCAGCAACGCCGCGUGAGGGAUGACGGCCUUCGGGUUGUAAACCUCUUUCAGCAGGGACGAAGCGCAAGUGACGGUACCUGCAGAAGAAGCACCGGCCAACUACGUGCCAGCAGCCGCGGUAAUACGUAGGGUGCGAGCGUUGUCCGGAAUUAUUGGGCGUAAAGGGCUCGUAGGCGGUCUGUUGCGUCGGGAGUGAAAACUCAGGGCUUAACCCUGAGCCUGCUUCCGAUACGGGCAGACUAGAGGUAUGCAGGGGAGAACGGAAUUCCUGGUGUAGCGGUGAAAUGCGCAGAUAUCAGGAGGAACACCGGUGGCGAAGGCGGUUCUCUGGGCAUUACCUGACGCUGAGGAGCGAAAGUGUGGGGAGCGAACAGGAUUAGAUACCCUGGUAGUCCACACCGUAAACGUUGGGCGCUAGGUGUGGGACUCAUUCCACGAGUUCCGUGCCGCAGCUAACGCAUUAAGCGCCCCGCCUGGGGAGUACGGCCG